rnacentral:rRNA from 1 species
GAUGAACGCUGGCGGCGUGCCUAAUACAUGCAAGUCGAGCGAACGGACGAGAAGCUUGCUUUUCUGAUGUUAGCGGCGGACGGGUGAGUAACACGUGGAUAACCUACCUAUAAGACUGGGAUAACUUCGGGAAACCGGAGCUAAUACCGGAUAAUAUUUUGAACCGCAUGGUUCAAAAGUGAAAGACGGCCUUGCUGUCACUUAUAGAUGGAUCCGCGCUGCAUUAGCUAGUUGGUAAGGUAACGGCUUACCAAGGCAACGAUGCAUAGCCGACCUGAGAGGGUGAUCGGCCACACUGGAACUGAGACACGGUCCAGACUCCUACGGGAGGCAGCAGUAGGGAAUCUUCCGCAAUGGGCGAAAGCCUGACGGAGCAACGCCGCGUGAGUGAUGAAGGUCUUCGGAUCGUAAAACUCUGUUAUUAGGGAAGAACAUAUGUGUAAGUAACUGUGCACAUCUUGACGGUACCUAAUCAGAAAGCCACGGCUAACUACGUG